UACGUAGGGUGCGAGCGUUAAUCGGAAUUACUGGGCGUAAAGCGUGCGCAGGCGGUUUUUUAAGUCAGAUGUGAAAUCCCCGGGCUCAACCUGGGAACUGCGUUUGAAACUACAAGGCUAGAGUGUAGCAGAGGGGGGUGGAAUUCCACGUGUAGCAGUGAAAUGCGUAGAGAUGUGGAGGAACACCGAUGGCGAAGGCAGCCCCCUGGGUUAACACUGACGCUCAGGCACGAAAGCGUGGGGAGCAAACAGG
rnacentral:rRNA from 1 species